rnacentral:lncRNA from 1 species
GUUCAACAGUUCAAACUUCUUCUGGAUGGGAUUGAAGGUAGAUCAAGGUAUAGUAGUACAUUGAAUAUUUUAAAACUGAGAAAAGUGUAGCAUAGCUAAUUCAAAACAUAUUACGUUAGUUAAAGAAGGAGAAUACGCGUUACACAGUGGCGGACCCCUGGGGUUCCGGGGGUUGGAACACCAAAUUAACACAUGGCAAGAGUAAAAUCUCUUUGUUCUUAGUCUUACUGUGCUAUAAUCUAGAUAAUGCACAGCAAAGGUGUGCAUUAACUACCUCAGAUAUACCGCACAGUUCAAAUCUAUUUUUACCUUUAGGGGCGGUUCCCGGAUUUUGAAAGGGGCGUUAUUCUAUCAAAUUAAAAAAAAUGUGUCCAUAGUACACGAAUGCCCCACUCGCACUAUCAUUUUCUAUGUUCAGUGGACCGUGAAAUUGGGGUCAAAACUUUAAUUUGGAAUUAAAGUUAGAAAGAUCAUAUCAUAGGGAACAUGUGUACUAUAUAAAUUCAUAUGUUCGUGUUAAGUGUUUCAGCUGCGCACACCUAAAUAAGUAUUUUUUGAUAAGUUUAAUAUAUUAUAUAUAAAUAUAUUAUAAUGAGAUGAGAAAUCAUAUACGACAAUCCAAGAUGAGGGGUCAGUAGAAGCCUUUGGCUUAUGUAACGACCCGAAGAUAAAGGUAUAAAGGUAUAAAGUUUCAAGUUGAUGUAACUUUAACUUCGUCAAAAACUACCUUGACCAAAAACUUUAACCUGAACUUCGCACUAUCAUUUUCUAUAUUCAGUGGACCAUGAAAUUGGGGUCAAAACUAUAAUUUGGCAGUAAAAUAAGAAAGAUAAUAUCAUGGAGAAGAUGUGUACUAAGUUUCAAGUUGAUUGGACUUCAACUUCUUCAAAAACUACCUUGACCAAAAACUUUAACCUGAAGCGGACGGACGAACGGACGCACAGACGGACGGACGAACGAACGGACGGAAGAACGGAGGCACAGACCAGAAAACAUAAUGCCCCUCUACUAUCGUAGGUGGGGCAUAAAUAUCACCGAGUGUAGCGAGACUAAAGACAAUAUUGACCAUUUUAAGCUAAAACACCGUACUUUGUCCAAUCCAUGGGUAAACGGCCCGUUCGCCCCCACCCCCAAAUCCGCCAUCUGAACGACUUUUUGAAUAAUUAUUCCUAUAAAGAGACUAUAUUUGGAUCGGAUUUAAUGAGGACCAUAUUAAAGUUUGUUUUAAAAAUGGGUGAUUAGCUGGAGAUCAAUCGGACUUCAUUUAGAUGGACGUGUCUUAAAAAGUAAUACAGUAGAUUAAAAGAAAUGGGGGGGGGGGGGGGUGAUUGCGGGGAGUAAAAGGUUUUGAAAGAGAAACAUAUUUUCUGUUUAUUUAACCUUUUAAAUUCAGGUAUUACAGCAUCUUUCUCGGUUCUUUUACGCAUAUCAUUGAGGGAAAGAUAUUCAAAAGCAAUUAAUCUUAUUUAAACUCAACAACCCUUGCAGUUAUGUUUUUUUUCAUACACCGAUUUGAAAGUACACAAUUUAUCAAAGUCUUAAUCGUCACCAAUUAAAUAAAAAUUGGGAAUAAAUUAACGGAAACGAUUUAAAAACAUAUACAUUAAAUCGCUAUAAUUUUAGAAUGAGUCUAAAUAUUAAAAAAAGAUUAAUUUAAAACUUACCAAAGUCGUAGUUCCCCUUUUCUUUACCCUACAAGAAACUUUCCUAGGACCCGUGGAUUGAAGAAUAACGUCCACAUUUCUAAAACGUUCACGUAAAUUGAUUGCGUCAUGUGUUAAAACAGUUAUUGACCAAUCAAAUCGGUAUAUGUCAUUUAAUCUGCACAGCACGAGAUGACCCAAUAACCCGAACUCCUACGUCGUUCGGGUUAUUGGGUCAUCUCGUGCUGUGCAGAUUAAAUGACAUAUAUACCGACUUGCUUGGUCAAUAACUAUAACUUAUUUUGGACGUUCAAUACAUUAUUCUAUAUAAUACUACUUAAAAUAUUUUAUUUCCCCCAUUUUUUCGCUAUAAUUAUGAAAUCUUUAGGCGACUGUGUUGGGACAUAUAGUUGGAACCCCCCUUUUUCCUUUUAUCCCGAGUGUUUGGAACCCUCUUUUAAAACAAUGGGUUGAUCCGCCUCUGGUUACAGAACUUUCUGUAAAUGUCAAAAUAGGUAUAAAAUCGCGGGUUGUUUUGGAUAUACAUAUUAUUACUUCUUUACCAAACCUUAUUAAAUAGAUUAUAGUAUUAAUAUUUGUCAAAUUCAUAUUUGAGAAAUGAUCAGCCUGACUUUCUAAACAUAUGAUUGGAUAAAGGGAGGUGCGGUACACCCCUCGGCGUAAGAAGGGGGAGGGGUCCGAAGGUUGGACCCCCUUUUUAACGAUAAAUGCAUAAAUUUGAAAAGGGAAAUCUAUUUGGAAACCCUAUCUCCAGAUUUGGAACCCCCUUUUAAAAAUAUGUUUCCUAUUUUGACUGGAUUUUUUUUUAUACCAAUGCUUCAUUUAAUUUGGGAAACAUUUUAAUAUAUAAGUCCUAGGUGCCCAGGCGCGGAUCCAGAGGGGGAGUUCCGGGGGUUGGAACCCCCCUUUUUUUUUGGGCCGAUCAAUGCAUUUGAAUGGGAGCAUAUAGCUGGAACCCCCCUUUACUCUGGGUCCUUUUUAAAAUGGUUGGAUCCGCCCCUGGUGCCUACAAAAUUAUUUCAUCUCGCCACAUUGACUGCUGUGUUUGUUGCUGUUCAGUUGUUGCUGCAUAUAUAUAUAUAUAUUUUUUAUAUAUAAGUGAUAUCGUUUGAAAUGGUUUUACAACAACAUUUCUGUUACUUCGGGUUUUUUUUAAAUAUUUUUUUAGCAUGCUAUGCGAUCUGGGCAAUGCGAUAUAUGGGUUUGCUCAUUGGGCAUUUGAUGUGGUAAAAAUCAUCCAACAGUCUUCCUAUUUUUAUAUUGUAAAGAAAGAUGUCUGUGAAAUAUUUAAAUUUCUAUUUUAUUUUGGUACUGGCUAUGGUUACAUUGAAAUGUAACAGUCAUACAAAAGUUAUUGUUACAAUGAAGUUUAGGCUAUAUCACCGGAAUGCAGGCCUAGUGUUGACUAAGGAACUGCAUGAAUACUUACGAGUGUAACAAUGAUAUUUAUGUCUACGGUUACAUUGUGUUACAUGUAUUGUUACGUAAAUGCACUCAAAUGAAAAAUUAUUUUUUACAAUAUUUUAUACAUUUUUAGCUCACCUGGCCGGAAGGGCCAAGUGAGCUUUUCCCAUCACUUUGCGUCCGGCGUCCGUCGUCGUCGUCCGUCGUCUGUCGUCCGUCGUCCGUCGUCGUUAACUUUUACAAAAAUCUUCUCCUCUGAAACUGCUGGGCCAAAUUAAACCAAACUUGGCCACAAUCAUCAUUGGGGUAUCUAGUUUAAAAAAUGUGUGGCGUGACCCGGCCUACCAACCAAGAUGGCCGCCAUGGCUAAAAAUAGAACAUAGGGGUAAAAUGCAGUUUUUGGCUUAUAACUCAAAAACCAAAGCAUUUAGAGCAGAAUCUAACAUGGUGUAAAAUUGUUUAUCAGGUCAAGAUCUAUCUGCCCUGAAAUUUUCAGAUGGUUGGGUUGCUCCCCCUGAAUAUGUAAUUUUAAGGAAAUUUUGCUGUUUUUGGUUAUUAUCUUGAAUAUUAUUAUAGAUAAAGAUAAACUGUAAACAGCAAUAAUGUUCAGCAAAGUAAGAUUUACAAAUAAGUCAACAUGACCAAAAUGGUCAAUUGACCCCUAAGGAGUUAUUGCCCUUUAUAUAGUCAUUUUUUUUUUAACAAUUUGUAAAAUUUUACUAACAUUUUUUUAAUUUUAAUUUGAUUGUCAGUGUACACACAACCAGUAUGUUGUUUCAGUCCGAUGCAUUUUUGACCCGGUGUAACCACUCUCAGUGGCGGAUCCAGAAAUUUACAUAAGUGGGGGCCCACUGACUGACCUAAGAGGGGGCCGGCUCCAGUCACGCUUCAAUGAUUCCCCUAUAUAAGCAUCCAAUUUUUUUCCCCUAAAUCCACCUCUGACUCUAGGCAGCCCUCACAAACGAGUAAUUGGGGUGGAUGGGUUGGGUGGCUCAGUGUUGUAUUAAUAUAUAAGAAGAUGUGGUAUAACUGCCAAUGAGAAAAGUCUCCUGUUCAUAUAAGUCGUAAUUUGUAGAAGUAAACCAUUAUAGGUCAAAGUACGGUCUUCAACACCGUGCCUGCAUGGGCUCUCACCGAACAGCAAGCUAUAAAGGGCCCCAAAAGUGACUAGUGUAAAACCAUUCAAACUGGAAAACCAAUGGUCUAUAGAUAUAUGUGGUAUGAGUGCCAAUGAGACAACUCUCCAUCCAAGUGACAAUUUAUAAAAGUAAACAGUUAUGGUCAAGGUACGGCAAUUCAACACGGAGCCUUGGCUCACACCUAACAGCAAGCUGUAAAGGGCUCCAAAAAUUAUUAGUGCCACGGUAAACUAUUCAAACGGCAAAACCAACGGUCUAAUCUAUACAAAAACGAGAAACGAGAAACACUUAUAAACCACAUAAACAGACGACAACCAUUGAAGGCUCUCAAUAAAAUUUACUAGUGUAAAACCAUUCAAGCGGGAAAACCAACUACUGAAUACCAAACUCCUGACUUAGGACAAUAACUUUUUUUGUAUUGUUACAAUCUCAAAAACGUGUCCGAUAAUUUAAGAAUGUGUCCGGUUAAAAACGCCAGAAUAUUUCAAAACUCAUAUACCCCCAAUGAUACUCUGUAAAGUAAAAACGCAAUUCAAUAUUAAUGGUGUGGGAUACGAUAGAACCCGUAUUGUUCGGUUGGAUUAUAAAUGAUUAGAAAAAAAAGUCGAAGCAGGUGCCAAAAAAAAUCUGGAGGAAAGGUUUAGUAAUCCGUACAGACAAAUGUCCAAGGUAUGCUACACUGUGCACUCUUUCUUCUGCUUGCAGACACAGACUAUAGGUCUGGUUUAAAAAAAAAAUUGCACAAUAAAAAGUUAUUUUUAUUUGAAGCGCUUUAAUUUAUGAUUUUCUUUAUCAAUAUGAUUAUUAUUAUAAUAAAGUUCAGACAGAGGUACUUCACAAUUUAGAAAACUAAUACAUCAUGUACAUUUUAUAUUGUAUUUUUUUCCCGGUGCUUGACCAUGUUUACUGUAUGUCAUUGAUAAGCAUUAGUUUGUUCAGCAUAGGUAAUUCAUAACAAGCAUAACUGCAGGCUAAGUUUACAACACAUAAUUAACUAUUGAUUACUUAAUGUCCAGUGGCAAAUAUGUCAUGCGUAUUUAGAGAAAAAAACCAUUAACAUUUCAUUUAAUACGUUUUGUAAAGUUUAAAUCAUCGUUUAAUAGUAAGUAAAUUCUAUUGUUUUAAUAUUAUCCGGUGAUGCCUAAAUGUCUUUUUACAAAAUGUAUGUCUAUGAGGGUACUGCUCGACCGGCUUCCCGCAGAAGUGGUUUCGCCAAUGCAAUUUGACAUGUUUAUCAAAUCAUUGACGUCACAUUGACGCGUUUUGGAGGAAUCGGACACGUUUCUGUGUGCUACCAUAGAUAGAUGUAUAACAUCUCUGGUGCUACAUAUAUGACUAUGUACGAUAAAUUUUCAAUUAAAUUGAAUUUCCACUUCAAUCUAUUAAACAUUAAUGUACUUUUGUAUAAAGUAGUUAGUAUAUAUAUUUAAAUGUCUUUUGUCGUUGUUUCACGGAUCUUAUUAUAAAGAGCACAUAAAUAGACCGAUGGUUAAAGCUACACGUGUAUGAAAUACUUGCCACUGGCAAACACCAAUACUUUGAUGAUGAUGAAUUAAAUUAUCAUAUUUUCCUUUUUUUUUAUUUAGAAACAAAUUUCAACUUUGAUUGAUUAUAAUAUAUACAUGUAGUAUCAGAAGUCCAGUCCAUUACUGGACUUCUGGUAGUAUAUAAAGUAAUAAGUAAAUUUUGAUGUCAGACCAUUCCCUUCCAUGAUCUUCCAUAAUUGUGCAUUCUUUUUAUUUUUACAUAACACAGAAAUGAGGAAAGUUUUAACAUAAGAAAAUUUUUAUAGUAGCCUUUAUAAAUUCAUUACAUUUUCUUUCCUCAGAAUGAUAAACAGCAAUGGAGACAGGAGCAGACAUGGGAAUGUUCGAUGUGAAAAUUGAAGACCUAUAAACAAAAUGAUGUAUCAAUAUGGCACUCAUCAGAAAAAAAAACCCAACAUUUAAUCAUGAACCAUUGAAUCCUGAGUUUCGUACAAGUACCAAAACAUUAAAGGUGGAUGCUUAAAAUGAGCUCAUAUUAGAACUAAAGUGUCCUCUUGAAUUACCACUGUACAUGUAAAAAGACACAUCAUAUCCGGGACUGAAUUGAGGAAAAGAGCCAGGAAACUGACAUUCAACAAAGCAUUCCAAAGAAAAGAUGGCAUAGGGGGAGAGCAAUGAAACAUGAUACAUGCAAAAUUAAUUGUUUCUUUGAUUGUUUUAUUUAUGAGCUUUAAAGGGUCAUAAAAUAACCAAGGGGCAUGAAAAUGACAGAGAUUUUUGCCACAAACUUCACAUGUUGGUAUGACAUUGAAUGUUUUAUUAUAUAUUAAAAAAUGGUUAUGAUAAAUAAAAGAAAUUCCAGUUAUGAUUAAAAAUAAG